AGAGUUUGAUCCUGGCUCAGAUCGAACGCUGGCGUGCGUGCCUAACACAUGCAAGUCGUGCGGGAAAGUGGGGGCAACUCCAUGAGUACAGCGGCGCACGGGUGAGUAACACGUAGGUAACCUACCUUCGAGACCGGGAUAACAUGUCGAAAGACGGGCUAAUACCAGAUAAGACCGCGGGGGUUGCGACCUCUGAGGUAAAAGGUGGCCUGAGCUUGCAAGCUACCGCUUGAGGAGGCGCGUGCGCGCCAUUAGAUAGCUGGCGGGGUAACGGCCCACCAAGGCAAAGAUGGCUAGCUGGUCUGAGAGGAUGACCAGCCACACUGGGAGUGAGACGCGGCCCAGACUCCUACGGGAGGCAGCAGUGGGGAAUAUUGCGCAAUGGGCGAAAGCCUGACGCAGCGACGCCGCGUGGGUGAUGAAGGCCUUCGGGUCGUAAAGCCCUGUCGGGAGGGACGAAACCUUGGCGACCUAAUACGUCGUCGACUUGACGGUACCUCCGAAGGAAGCACCGGCUAACUCCGUGCCAGCAGCCGCGGUAAUACGGAGGGUGCGAGCGUUGUUCGGAAUCACUGGGCGUAAAGCGCGCGUAGGCGGCCUUGUAAGUCUGGUGUGAAAGCCCGGGGCUUACCCCCGGAAGUGCACUGGAAACUGCAAGGCUAGAGUACCGGAGAGGAAGGUGGAAUUCCUGGUGUAGCGGUGAAAUGCGUAGAUAUCAGGAGGAACACCGGUGGCGAAGGCGGCCUUCUGGACGGAUACUGACGGUGAGACGCGAAAGCGUGGGGAGCAAACAGGAUUAGAUACCCUGGUAGUCCACGCUGUAAACGAUGGGCACUAGGUGUUCGGGGUAUUGACCCCCUGAGUGCCGCAGCUAACGCAUUAAGUGCCCCGCCUGGGGACUACAGCCGCAAGGUUAAAACUCCAAGGAAUAGACGG
rnacentral:rRNA from 1 species